GACGAACGCUGGCGGCGUGCUUAACACAUGCAAGUCGAACGGAAAGGCCUGCUUUCCCUUGUGGUUUGCGGGUACUCGAGUGGCGAACGGGUGAGUAACACGUGAGUGAUCUGCCCCCAACUUGGGUAUAAGCCUGGGAAACUGGGUCUAAUUCCCGAUAGUACUGCAGGGUGGUGCCUGUGGUGGAAAACGAUUUUCUAGUGGUUGGGGAUGAGCUCGCGGCCUAUCAGCUUGUUGGUGGGGUAAUGGCCUACCAAGGCGGCGACGGGUAGCCGGCCUGAGAGGGUGGACGGCGACAUUGGGACUGAGAUACGGCCCAGACUCCUACGGGAGGCAGCAGUGGGGAAUAUUGCACGAUGGGCGGAAGCCUGAUGCAGCGGCGCCGCGUGGGGGAUGACGGCCUUCGGGUUGUAAACUCCUUUCGACCGCGAGGAAGCCACCUGGUUGGAAGGGUGGUGACGGUAGUGGUAGAAGAAGCACCGGCUAACUACGUG
rnacentral:rRNA from 1 species